AACGCUAGCUACAGGCUUAACACAUGCAAGUCGAGGGGAAACGACAUCGAAAGCUUGCUUUUGAUGGGCGUCGACCGGCGCACGGGUGAGUAACGCGUAUCCAACCUGCCCACCACUUGGGGAUAACCUUGCGAAAGUAAGACUAAUACCCAAUGACGUCUCUAGAAGACAUCUGAAAGAGAUUAAAGAUUUAUCGGUGAUGGAUGGGGAUGCGUCUGAUUAGCUUGUUGGCGGGGUAACGGCCCACCAAGGCGACGAUCAGUAGGGGUUCUGAGAGGAAGGUCCCCCACAUUGGAACUGAGACACGGUCCAAACUCCUACGGGAGGCAGCAGUGAGGAAUAUUGGUCAAUGGACGCGAGUCUGAACCAGCCAAGUAGCGUGAAGGAUGACUGCCCUAUGGGUUGUAAACUUCUUUUAUAAAGGAAUAAAGUCGGGUAUGCAUACCCGUUUGCAUGUACUUUAUGAAUAAGGAUCGGCUAACUCCGUGCCAGCAGCCGCGGUAAUACGGAGGAUCCGAGCGUUAUCCGGAUUUAUUGGGUUUAAAGGGAGCGUAGGUGGAUUGUUAAGUCAGUUGUGAAAGUUUGCGGCUCAACCGUAAAAUUGCAGUUGAUACUGGCUGUCUUGAGUACAGUAGAGGUGGGCGGAAUUCGUGGUGUAGCGGUGAAAUGCUUAGAUAUCACGAAGAACUCCGAUUG
rnacentral:rRNA from 1 species